rnacentral:rRNA from 1 species
AAUUUGAAAUCUGGCGGGUUCCCCGUCCGAGUUGUAAUUUGAAGAAGGAUACUUUGGUACUGGCUCUUGUCUAUGUUCCUUGGAACAGGACGUCACAGAGGGUGAGAAUCCCGUGCGAUGAGAUGCCCAGUUCCGUGUAAAGUUCCUUCGAAGAGUCGAGUUGUUUGGGAAUGCAGCUCUAAGUGGGUGGUAAAUUCCAUCUAAAGCUAAAUAUUGGCGAGAGACCGAUAGCGAACAAGUACAGUGAUGGAAAGAUGAAAAGAACUUUGAAAAGAGAGUGAAAAAGUACGUGAAAUUGUUGAAAGGGAAGGGCUUGAGAUCAGACUUGGUAUUUGGAAUGAAACUCUUUCGAGAGUCUCCGCUUCUGCUUACCGGGCCAGCAUCGGUUUGGGGAGAAGGAUAACCGCAAAGGAACGUGGCACCACUCGUGGUGUGUUAUAGCCUUUG